rnacentral:rRNA from 1 species
CAGUCGCCACGGUAAAACAGAGGGUGCGAGCGUUAAUCGGAUUUACUGGGCGUAAAGCGUGCGUAGGCGGCUUUUUAAGUCGGAUGUGAAAUCCCUGAGCUUAACUUAGGAAUUGCAUUCGAUACUGGGAAGCUAGAGUAUGGGAGAGGAUGGUAGAAUUCCAGGUGUAGCGGUGAAAUGCGUAGAGAUCUGGAGGAAUACCGAUGGCGAAGGCAGCCAUCUGGCCUAAUACUGACGCUGAGGUACGAAAGCAUGGGGAGCAAACAGGAUUAGAUACCCCAGUAGUCCCUGUCUCUUAUAC